GAUGAAGAACGUAGCGAAAUGCGAUAAGUAAUGUGAAUUGCAGAAUUCAGUGAAUCAUCGAAUCUUUGAACGCACAUUGCGCCCCCUGGUAUUCCGGGGGGCAUGCCUGUUCGAGCGUCAUUUCACCACUCAAGCCUCGCUUGGUAUUGGGUGACGCGGUCCGCCGCGCGCCUCAAAUCGACCGGCUGGGUCUUCCGUCCCCUCAGCGUUGUGGAAACUAUUCGCUAAAGGGUGCCGCGGGAGGUCACGCCGCAAAACAACCCCAUUUCUAAGGUUGACCUCGGAUCAGGUAGGGAUACCCGCUGAACUUAAGCAUAUCAAUAAGCGGAGGA
rnacentral:misc_RNA from 1 species